GAUGAACGCCGGCGGCGCGCCUAAUACAUGCAAGUCGAGCGAACAGAUGAGAAGCUUGCUUCUCUGAUGUUAGCGGCGGACGGGUGAGUAACACGUGGGUAACCUACCUAUAAGACUGGGAUAACUCCGGGAAACCGGGGCUAAUACCGGAUAAUAUUUUGAACCGCAUGGUUCAAUAGUGAAAGACGGUUUCGGCUGUCGCUUAUAGAUGGACCCGCGCCGUAUUAGCUAGUUGGUAAGGUAACGGCUUACCAAGGCGACGAUACGUAGCCGACCUGAGAGGGUGAUCGGCCACACGGGAACUGAGACACGGUCCAGACUCCUACGGGAGGCAGCAGUAGGGAGUCUUCCGCAAUGGGCGAAAGCCUGACGGAGCAACGCCGCGUGAGUGAUGAAGGUCUUCGGAUCGUAAAACUCUGUUGUUAGGGAAGAACAAAUUUGUUAGUAACUGAACAAGUCUUGACGGUACCUAACCAGAAAGCCACGGCUAACUACGUGCCAGCAGCCGCCGUAA
rnacentral:rRNA from 1 species